AGUUCGGAUUGCAGGCUGCAACCCGCCUGCAUGAAGUUGGAAUCGCUAGUAAUCGCGGAUCAGCAUGCCGCGGUGAAUACGUUCCCGGGCCUUGUACACACCGCCCGUCACACCAUGAGAGUCGGGAACACCCGAAGUCCGUAGUCUGACCGCAAGGGGGACGCGGCCGAAGGUGGGUUCGAUAAUUGGGGUGAAGUCGUAACAAGGUACC
rnacentral:rRNA from 1 species